rnacentral:lncRNA from 1 species
GAUUUGAUAUGUUUGUAAUAGCUGGGGGCUUUAGAACCCGCCGAGGCCGGAGCCCCGGCUACCCCCUCAAAAGAAGCGGAAAAAAUUCGGAAUCAAAUGAAAAUGGAAGCCUAACUCACACCAAUUACACACAAAUAUCCCCACACCUACUUCAGCAGAAAGUAAUCUGAAAGACUAAUCAACAAAAACAUUAAGAAAAACAUAGAUUUUCUUAAAUCUAAAAAUUGAGCACAAAUGUCAGCAUGUAGAUUUCAGGUCUUAUAGUAAUUGAUGAGAGAGAAAUUCCCCGGAGGACUUUUCGGAAUCCUAACGGCGAAGGGAAAUUGAGACGGAGAGAAAUUAGGGUUUUAUUUUCAGGUGAAAGAUUCACA